rnacentral:rRNA from 1 species
AGCGGCGGACGGGUGAGUAACGCGUGGGUAACCUACCCUGUACACACGGAUAACAUACCGAAAGGUAUGCUAAUACGGGAUAAUAUAUUUGAGAGGCAUCUCUUGAAUAUCAAAGGUGAGCCAGUACAGGAUGGACCCGCGUCUGAUUAGCUAGUUGGUAAGGUAACGGCUUACCAAGGCGACGAUCAGUAGCCGACCUGAGAGGGUGAUCGGCCACAUUGGAACUGAGACACGGUCCAAACUCCUACGGGAGGCAGCAGUGGGGAAUAUUGCACAAUGGGCGAAAGCCUGAUGCAGCAACGCCGCGUGAGUGAUGAAGGCCUUCGGGUCGUAAAACUCUGUCCUCAAGGAAGAUAAUGACGGUACUUGAGGAGGAAGCCCCGGCUAACUACGUGCCAGCAGCCGCGGUAAUACGUAGGGGGCUAGCGUUAUCCGGAUUUACUGGGCGUAAAGGGUGCGUAGGCGGUCUUUCAAGUCAGGAGUGAAAGGCUACGGCUCAACCGUAGUAAGCUCUUGAAACUGGGAGACUUGAGUGCAGGAGAGGAGAGUGGAAUUCCUAGUGUAGCGGUGAAAUGCGUAGAUAUUAGGAGGAACACCAGUUGCGAAGGCGGCUCUCUGGACUGUAACUGACGCUGAGGCACGAAAGCGUGGGGAGCAAACAGGAUUAGAUACCCUGGUAGUCCACGCUGUAAACGAUGAGUACUAGGUGUCGGGGGUUACCCCCUUCGGUGCCGCAGCUAACGCAUUAAGUACUCCGCCUGGGAAGUACGCUCGCA